GAAAAAUACUGCCUCAAAUGCCGGGAAUUUGCAUUUGAAUGCAGCGUCACCGUUUGCGAUUUCCAGCAUGGUGGCGGCGCCGUAGCUCAUCAUAAAACGGGGAAAACUCAACAUCAAAUGGGGCGCCUCCUUCAGGCGACCAAACCCCAUAAAAAAGAUCCAAAAAAUACGGCGUCAAUCGAUGCCAAUUUGAGAUUGAAAAUUUCACUGGCAGCGGCGUGACUCCAAAUCUAAUAAUUUCAACGCCAAUCGAAUCCAAAUGAGGUCAAGAACACAAAUUUUACAAAAGCCCCUUCGAUUUCCUCACAGAACGUGUCCAAUUUUUAAAUUAGGGUUUCAAAACUCCAAUUUCAUGGCGGCGGCGCUCCAACGGCUGUAAAUCAAAAUUGGUCAGUAGAUAUGGUUCAAAAUAUCUCAAGAAAUGUAUCCCUUAUGAAUGUCAGAGCCGAUUUAUCUCAAAUCUCAACCAAUUUGAAAUCUGAUGAAUCAAAGUGUGUUAAAGUUGAAAAUGCAGUGCAUUCAGCUGGGGACCCUAAAUGUAUCUUAAUGACUCUAUAUCCCUUUUGAUGGUUUCGUAUCUUAAUGACUCUAUAUCUGCAGGUUGUUAUGGAAUCAAGUGAAAAACGCUUUUUGAUAGACGCGCAGUGCUGAUCCUACUGAGUUUAUGUCAUGGCUUCUUAAGACCUUGCAUGCUGAUCUUCGAGGCUCAAAAAACAACAGCAACAUAAUUCAAUAGCUGUUGUUCCUGCUACUUAACAGUCCAGAAGCUAGUCCUAGUAGUUAAGAAAGAAGGAAUAUUUAUGCCAUGAGAAGACAAAGUGCCCGAGCUUCUGGAAUGCCUAGCAGAAAUCGAGACAUCAGCUCGAGGAGAGAGUUACCAAGACAGGACGGGGAUGCUGUAUUGGCGCUAAGAUUGCAAA